GACAGAGGUGCCGAGCGUUAGGCGGAAUCACUGGGCUUAAAGCGUGUGUAGGCGGACUCGUAAGUGCUUUGUGAAAUCCCACGGCUCACCCGUGGGACUGCUUGGCAUACUGCGAGCCUUGAGCCACUUAGGGGCAACCGGAACAAACGGUGGAGCGGUGAAAUGCGUAGAUAUCAGGAGGAACACCAAUGGCGAAGGCAGCUCGCUGGGACGUUACGACGCUGAGACGCGAAAGCGUGGGGAGCAAACAGG
rnacentral:rRNA from 1 species